rnacentral:lncRNA from 1 species
ACUGGUUAUAGUGCUAUACAGGAAACCUGGCAGCGCCGGAGCCGCGCGGUCGAGGAGGGAGCGCGGGACGCCGAGCCCACGCGCGCCUGCCGGGACAAGUGGAGACGAGGCCGGCGAGCGGACGCCCCGAGGUUGGCGAAGGAGCUGUGGCCGGGUCCCCUUCUUAUCCAGCCCGAGACACUGCGCUCCGACGCAGCUUCUUUGGGUAUGGGUGACAGCACUCCUGAGCGUCGCUGUCCCUAUUCGCUGCCGUUGCCAGCUCCGAUUCCGCGAAACCUCUCCGGCACCACCUCGGAAGCCCCGCCCAGGGCGAUGGUCCGGGCCUAACCUGCCGGCCCCGCCCACCCGGCCCUUGGGCUCCCUGAGGCCCGCCCAGCAGACUCGAGGAACGCUUGACAAAGUGGCGAAGGAGCCCUACGGGAGUCCCGGAUUGGACCCUGCUCCUUCGGUCCCUCAGCCUCGGCAAGCCGCGGUCUCCUGGCCCUUGGCCUGGGUCACCUUAGGAGGCAGGAGGAGAUGUGGUCAGUGUGGGAGCUUGGAGGGGCCAUGCACUUCCGGAGAAGACCACCGACUCAUGGCUUUGGUGGAGGGGCGCCGGCAGAUUUACAAGCGUGGUGUCGACCUUAGAGCAGGACUGAAGCGAGGCUGAAAUCUUAGAAUCAACCCCACGGAAUGAAGAGGUUGUCCUAAUUCCAGCACUGAGUGUAAGAAUGGAAGCCUUGCAUGUGAUUUUAUUCAAGUCCUCAUUUUAGAAAUGGGAAAACUGAGGCCCGAAGGCGAACGGCAAGUGCAGCAUCGGGACUCGAACCCAAGUCUCUCCUCGAGUGCUGGGCUAUUCCGGGCUCAGUGGUCUUGACUUCCGCGGCCCUCUUCCUUGUUGCCUGCAGGAAAAUGCCGCGGCCGCAAUGGCGGCGGAUGUGGAGGGGGACGUGUACGUACUGGUGGAGCACCCCUUCGAGUACACCGGCAAGGACGGGCGCCGCGUGGCCAUCCCGCCCAAUGAGCGCUACCGGCCGCUGCGGCGCAGCACAGAGCACUGAGCAUUGGUGGCACGUGCGGCGCAAGCCC